rnacentral:lncRNA from 8 species
GUCAAACACACAUUCACUGCAAGACGAUCCUCUUCCAUUCUAAAAGCCUGCUAUUGUAUGGAGUCUAGAUGACAAACAGACAGUGGACCUGGCCCCUCAACACUGGUGCUCCAGUUGCUAUUGGACUACACUAAAUGAAAUGUACAAAGCCUGCAGCCAAUGGAUUGCCGCAUUCUCUCCAUCACUGUUAACCAGCUGCCAGUAUGGACCAGUUUUGGCAUCCGUGAGGAAAGGACAGGAGGGUAGCAGGGAUCCUCUGACUGCACCUUACUGUCGCUGCCCAACGUCAUUUGGAGCUGAACAUUAG